ACCCCUCUGGCUAGCUCAGUUGGUGGAACAUGAGGCUCUUAAUCUCAAAGUCAUGGGUUCAAGCCUCAUGUUGGGCA